CCCAACUUUCUGAUUCAGGAAUAUUGAAUGAUGACGCAAGCAAUGGGGUUGUUAACCACUCAGCAGUAAAACCCCUGGACAAUGUGAUGUAUUCACAAUGUGUAUCAGCCAUGUGUGCUUUGGCCAAGGAUCCAUCUCCAUGCAUUGCCAGGCUUGGUCGCAGGGUACUGCUAUUAUAGGGAUUUAUCUUUUUCUAUUAUUUUUUUGAGAUAUGUGCUAUAAGUCCUUGUACUUGACUACUGUUUUGUUAACAGUCUGUUUUACCCUAAUUUGAGUUUACACGUCAAGUAACAUUUUGUCUUUGGUUUUCUUUUAGGGUAUCAAACUAUGACGAGGCUACACUUCUCAACAGCUUUGAUAAUCAUGAUUUUCUAGAUAAAGAAAUUUCUAAGCUCUCCCUUGUGAAUGAGCUAGAUGACAGCUUACUUCUUGCAGCUUCAUGUGAUGGAAAUAUUCGCAUUUGGAAAGAUUAUGCAUCGAAGGAUGAGCAGAAACUUGUUACUGAUUUCUCUUCAAUUCAGGGUUAUAAACCGGGCAUUCGAAGCUUGAAUGCUGUUGUAGAUUGGCAACAACAAUCUGGAUAUCUGUAUGCUUCUGGUGAGGUUCCUUGCAUCAUGAUUUGGGAUCUGGAUAAGGAGCAACUUUUUAAUUUUGUUCUUUCAUCACC